GAUCAUGGCUCAGGAUGAACGCUAGCUACAGGCUUAACACAUGCAAGUCGAGGGGCAGCAUCAUCAAAGCUUGCUUUGAUGGAUGGCGACCGGCGCACGGGUGAGUAACACGUAUCCAACCUGCCGACAACACUGGGAUAGCCUUUCGAAAGAAAGAUUAAUACCGGAUGGUAUAGUUUUCCCGCAUGGGAUGAUUAUUAAAGAAUUUCGGUUGUCGAUGGGGAUGCGUUACA
rnacentral:rRNA from 1 species